rnacentral:rRNA from 1 species
GAUGAACGCUAGCGGCAGGCCUAAUACAUGCAAGUCGGGCGGCAAGUUGAGGAGUAAUCUGAGACCUAGAGCGGCGGACGGGUGCGUAACGCGUAUGCAACCUGCCCCUUACCGGGGGAUAGCCCGGGGAAACCCGGAUUAAUACCCCAUAGUAUGCAGACACCGCAUGGUGAUUGUAUUAAAGAUUUAUCGGUAAGGGAUGGGCAUGCGUAGGAUUAGUUAGUUGGCGGGGUAACGGCCCACCAAAACUUUGAUCCUUAGGGGUUCUGAGAGGAAGGUCCCCCACACUGGCACUGAGAUACGGGCCAGACUCCUACGGGAGGCAGCAGUAGGGAAUAUUGGGCAAUGGGCGGGAGCCUGACCCAGCCAUGCCGCGUGCAGGAAGAAGGCGUUAUGCGUUGUAAACUGCUUUUAUACGGGAAGAAAAGGCCCAUGCGUGGGACAUUGCCGGUAUCGUAUGAAUAAGCACCGGCUAGCUCCGUGCCAGCCGCCGCAGUAAGAC